AUUGAACGCUGGCGGCAGGCCUAACACAUGCAAGUCGAACGAGUGGCGGACGGGUGAGUAAUGUCUGGGAAACUGCCCGAUGGAGGGGGAUAACUACUGGAAACGGUCGCUAAUACCGCAUACCAUGGGAUGUGCCCAGUGGGGAUUAGCUAGUAGGUGGGGUAACGGCGCCCCUAGGCGACGAUCCCUAGCGGGUCUGAGAGGAGGACCAGCCACACGGGAACUGAGGCACGGUCCAGACGCCUACGGGAGGCAGCAGUGGGGAAGAUGGCACAAUGGGGGCAAGCGUGAUGCAGCCAUGCCGCGUUUAUGAAGCAGGCCUUCGGGUUGUAAACCGCGUUCAGCCAUGACGCGGUAGUGGCAGAAGAAGCACCGGCUAACUACGUGCCAGCCGCCGCGGUAAUUC
rnacentral:rRNA from 1 species